rnacentral:rRNA from 1 species
UUAUAUGAGAGUUUGAUCCUGGCUCAGGACGAACGCUGGCGGCAUGCCUAAUACAUGCAAGUCGAACGCACGAAGUUGAAAAGCUUGCUUUUCGACCAAGUGAGUGGCGGACGGGUGAGUAACACGUGGGUAACCUGCCCAUAAGAGGGGGAUAACAUUCGGAAACGGAUGCUAAUACCGCAUAUUUCAAAUGACCGCAUGGUCGCUUGAUGAAAGGUGGCUUCGGCUGCCGCUUAUGGAUGGACCCGCGGUGCAUUAGUUAGUUGGUGAGGUAAUGGCUCACCAAGACAAUGAUGCAUAGCCGACCUGAGAGGGUGAUCGGCCACACUGGGACUGAGACACGGCCCAGACUCCUACGGGAGGCAGCAGUAGGGAAUCUUCCGCAAUGGACGAAAGUCUGACGGAGCAAUGCCGCGUGAGUGAAGAAGGUUUUCGGAUCGUAAAACUCUGUUGUUAGAGAAGA